UCACCAGCUGGACAUGUGUCUUUGACGACACAGCAUGAAGUGGAAAUGGGAAGAUGGUCUGAAUCAGUCCUUGAAUCAGAUGACUGCGAUGAAACUGGAAGAGAGUCACAGAGGCUGAUGUCACUUACGCUGGGCAGGAGGGUGGGCCCAGAGACAAGGGAAGGCCAGUGGCGCAGGCCAAGGCCACUGGAGGGAGUCUUUCCCCAUCUGAUGAGUGGUCUGUAAUGGCCCUGUGGGGGGUCGUGUCACAGCUGGACUAAGGACAGGACUUGCUCUGUGGACCAGGGAAUCGGAGACCCUGGUCUCGCCCUGGUUUUAAAAUUGAGCCCCUGUUCUCCAUUCAUCUAUCUACAGGUGGUUCUUCCCUCCAGAAGUCUAAGACGGGAGAGAAUUUAGUAUGAGCCCCUGGACUUUUCCUUAGCAGAGGCUCAGUCUGUACCAGGUGUAUGUGAUUUGCUUGUGUGUGCAAGAGAAAGCACAGCGUCGCGUGAAUCCUGAUGCUCACGAAUAGAACCGCCAGCUGAGGCUGACACUCCAGUGCCUCCCUGACAGUGUAUCGGGACCAGUCAUAGAGUCAGGAAGGACUUUAUAGAGAUUCAUAGAUUUUUCAGGUAGCCAAUCCUUAAACUCACAGAGCACACAGAUUGUCUAGAUCUGAAAACCUAAAGGCAGAUGUAUCAGUCAGAGCUCAUUGCAGGAAACGGAAACCAUUCUAGAAAUAUUAAGUGGAAAGAGUCUUAAUACAGAGAAUUUUGUCUUUACAAAAUGGUUGCAAAGGCUGAAGGAGCAGGUUCUCUGCUGGGCCGCUGGAAGGACUCCGAGAAGAAUACAGACCCGGCCCCUGGGAGAGCUGCUGCCUCUGAGACUUCCCGAGAGAGGGGCUGCUGCGGCACCUGCUGCUCCUGGAGAACGCUGCCCAAGGCCCCAGUCCGAUCCUGGGAUCAGGAAGGCACGAGCUGGGGAAUGGAGACUGUGAGGUUGCUGCUGGAAACCCCGCCUCUCUGCGACCUAAUUUGCAGCAGUGACCGUCAAGCUUUGCAGGAAGAGGGCAUCUGGCUCACGUCCGCCUUCUACAGGUGUCCUUUGGUGCAAGCUAAUUUGCAUCCAGAACCCUAGCUGCAAGGAGGCCUGGGAAAUGCCUCCCAAUUCUUGCAUCGGACAGAAGGAGAGGUCAAGUGGGCCAUUCGAGAGAGUCCGGCUCACAGGUCAAUGCCAGUGGGUGCUGGAUGGCUUAAGUGGAUUGAUGCAAUAUUGACUCUUCAGGAAAAGUUUGACUCAGAAACGUGUUACAUGUUGGGUGGGGCAUCCAUGGUCUGGGGGAAGAUGCUGAGGAGCAGAGUUCCGAUGGACCUCGGUUCAACUGGACUUAGAAUUCCAGAUCUGCCACUACCAAGCUCUGUGACAUUGAGCAGGUGAGCAACCAGGAGUCUGGAGAUGGAGGUGCCACCUCAUGAACCAGCGUACGCCAGGAUCUGGAGCCUCAGGGCGUUUCCAUCUUCUAGAACGCUGGUUGGCCUCAUACGCUGCAGUCCCCGGUGAAUGACACACUCAGGAAGAUACUUCUGUAGAGGACAGAGAAAGCCGGCCUGCUGGGUCUAUCCAGGGGUGUGGAUGUCCGCACCUGGGGUGCUCGAACACUCUAGUGUCAGAACAAGUCUAGUGUCUUGACCACUCUAGAAGAAUUGCAGAAUGUGUCUUUCGUGGACACAUAGAAACCCAAAGAGGCUGACCGAGUGUGGUCUGAAGGUGAGCUUAGGCAGAGGACUCAUUUCAAUGUCUCAGAACUACCUGUGACUUAAUUUAAAUUAUUGCUGUUAAAUUAAACUUCCAAAUCAUGUAUAAAGUCUGUCCUCAGGUAGUUUCGUGUGUCUGGGAGCCCUCUUCAUGCUUUCCUUUGACGGGGUCCACCAUGCCUUCCUGUCCUGGCCCCAAGGUCCUUACCGAGGCAGACCUCAUGACUUCGGAAUUUAGAAUUAACCUCCCGUUUCACAGAUGAGAAUAUUAGGCCUGGUGAGACAGGGCUGAGGAGAGCUUACAGGGUGACUCAAAGGAUGGGGGAGGGGCAGAGGCCACAGCCUCAGGAACAAGCACACAACUCUGGCCUCUAACACCAAUGUGCUCUGAGAUCUACGAAAAGCCACAGCCUCUCUGGGUCUUGGCUUUCUCAUCUAUGAAAUAACAUUUUGGGCAAUAUUAUGGCCUGAGUUGUGUCCCCCUAAAUUUAUACACUGAAGUCCUGACCCCCAGUCCCUCAGAAUGUGACUGUGUAUUUGGAGACAGAGUCUUUACAGACGUGAUGAAGGUAAAAUGAGGUCAUGAAGUGGGCCCCAAUCCAAAAUGACUACUGUCCUUAUAAGAAGAGGAUAUUAGGACACAGACACACGCUUGGAAGACCAAGUGGGGACACAGAGAGAAGACAGCCAUCUACGAGCCAAGGAGAGAGGCCUCAGGAGAAACCAGCCCUGCUGACACCUUGAUCUCAGACUCCCAGCCUCCAGAACUGUGAGAAAUAAAUGUCUGUUUUUUAAGCCCCCAGUUUGUGGUUCUGUGUUAUGGCCACCCUGGCAAACUCAUAGAGACGAGAUCAUUCCAUAGUAUGUAGAUGGAAAACACAAGCGUUUGUUCCUUGCUGCUGGUUAGUUACUGUGGACCCUUAAACUAUCCAUGGGCUGUGGUUGGCUGGGAGUUGAACAAAUGAGAUUGGGCCCUAAGAGGUUUCUGGAGCCUGAGGUCUUGGAAUUGGCAUUUAUCCCUUCAGGAGACGCACUCUGCUGUGCUCUUUCCUCACCACCUCGCUGCCCUCUUGGCUGCCUCUCAGGGCCGAGCACAUGCUGGUGGCUUCCUCUGCCCCAAACACUCCACAUUCUUGCACAUUUUGUCCAAC